AGGGUUCGAUUAUGGCUCAGGAUGAACGCUGGCGGCGUGCCUAACACAUGCAAGUCGAACGAAGUUAGACAGAGGAAGUUUUCGGAUGGAAUCGGUAUAACUUAGUGGCGGACGGGUGAGUAACGCGUGGGAAACCUGCCCUGUACCGGGGGAUAACACUUAGAAAUAGGUGCUAAUACCGCAUAAGCGCACGGAACCGCAUGGUUGUGUGUGAAAAACUCCGGUGGUACAGGAUGGUCCCGCGUCUGAUUAGCCAGUUGGCAGGGUAACGGCCUACCAAAGCGACGAUCAGUAGCCGGCCUGAGAGGGUGAACGGCCACAUUGGGACUGAGACACGGCCCAA
rnacentral:rRNA from 1 species